AUGGCCCUAUCGUCUAGUGGUUCAGGACAUCUCUCUAUCAAGGAGGCAGCGGGGAUUCGACUUCCCCUAGGGGUAGGGAGUAUUAUGAAAGGAGGUUAA
rnacentral:rRNA from 1 species